CAGCCCAUGUACACAGUAGAAAAAAAAACAGCUUGGCUUUUAAAUGGUGCAAGAAUUGCCUCUGAUUAUUUCCGCAACACCUGUACAGGUCCUUAACCAAAGCCUCUGGCUGCCUCCAAGUGAAGCAGAGCAUCAGGUGCUAACACAACAACCAAGUGCCAACCAAGCGUGUAGAAAGUGUCAGCAAACAAUGCUGUAGUUGAUAGGAUAUUUAAGAGCGUCUCAAACAGCUGCAGCCAGCUAGAGUACAUAAAAGGGCACAGCCAUUAAUUCACAGUGGCCCACACCACUGAUUCGAUGCACACAAAUUGGAGAAGCAGCUGGCUAAAUGUCAUGCUGCUGGCUUGUUUUUGAAGCCCAGGUAACAGAUUUCCAGUUCCUUUCCAAACACAGCAGAAAAAAAACCCAUGCUCAAUGACUUACUGCAGUAGCUACCAGCUCAGAGACAGAUUGAAGAGCUGAAAAAAAGCCCAUUACAAAAAACACAGCUUGGAAGGAGACAGAGUUCUUACCAGCCACACUUCUGCGGUGCUGACAAAUUGUGCUCAAGAAAUCCACUUCUUCUUCCAGAAGAAUUCACACCACUUGCUCUAUUUUAUGAGGGGUGUUUCUGAGCCUCGGGUGAGUGCGAACAGCUGCAGGUCUGUCUGUCUGGGCAAGGCCUGAGGAUCGCUAUGGGAAGUGACAGCCCCUCAAAAACACACCUGAGAGCGGCUGCGACUCCAGCCCAGCACCAGGGAUUGGCACCCAGGAGGACGGCCAUCUCGGGGCGGCCCAGCACCUCAGCAUCCCUCCUCAUCCCUGCUGUCUCCACAAGCGCUGGCGGGGCCAAAACCUCCAGGCCUCUGUCACAGCUUCCCUCUUCUCUCCUCUCUGCUGACGUAACCUGGCAUUUUUUGCUUUCAAAUCCUGCCGUGUGAUGAAAAUGAAACAUUUAAGAG
rnacentral:lncRNA from 1 species